GGGAGUGUGGAUCAGUGGUAGAGUGCAUGCUUUGCAUGCAUGAAACCCUGGGUUCGAUUCCUCAGCGCCA
rnacentral:tRNA from 1 species